UUCCUACUGGUUGUUUUACUUUAUUGCUUUGAUCAUGAUUGGUUAAUCUGGCUGUCAUCCAGGAAACUGGACAGUGAAUCGGUUCGCGCCUUUCUACAUUUGAAAAUAUGACCGUUAUUAUCGUUCUUUCUGUGAGUGAGGCGGCUGACUGUGAGCUGCUGCUAGUUGUAACUGCUCGGUCGGUCCCGAAUUAUUUUAUAUUUGCCUGUUAAUUUAUUUUUUAUUUUUUUGAGCGAAUUUGAGUCGUGACAUGUCAAUGGAGAACAAAAACUGUAAUGUGAACACAAGAAGUGUCAGAUGUGUUCUGCGAGGUCCUGCAAACAUACUGGCAAAUUGAGAGAUUUUUCCACAUUUUCCUGAUAUGAAUCCCAUGGAUUAGAGUCAUCAAGGAUCCAGCUUAUUAUUGAAACAUUGGACAGUACAGAAAGCACACAAGUGGGAGAGAGUGGAGGGGACGGCAUCAGAAAGGACCUAGGGCUGGGACUCUUUCAAGGAUCACCUGAAGCACAACCACACUAUAUGCACGAGGCUGUUGGUUCUAACAUUUUAGGUUCACCUUCGGUAGAAAUCACAUUCCGCGUUCCCUGCGGUAAAAAAAGACACAGUCCGGGGGGGUUCCCGUUAGAAAUGCCCCCCCCCUCGGGGUCCCCCCUCUAACGCUGGUUCCUUGGAAUUGUCCUAACCUUCCCUGCCCUUACAGCGUCCCUGGUUGCCGGUUCCAUUCUCGAAUUGUUCAACACAUUUUCACUGCACAAAUGUACACAUCUCUUGUAAUGAGACACAU